AUUGAACGCUGGCGGAAUGCUUUACACAUGCAAGUCGAACGGCAGCACGGACUUCGGUCUGGUGGCGAGUGGCGAACGGGUGAGUAAUACAUCGGAACGUGCCCAGUCGUGGGGGAUAACGUAGCGAAAGCUACGCUAAUACCGCAUACGAUCUACGGAUGAAAGCGGGGGAUCGCAAGACCUCGCGCGAUUGGAGCGGCCGAGUGCAGAUUAGGUAGUUGGUGGGGUAAAGGCUCACCAAGCCGACGAUCUGUAGCUGGUCUGAGAGGACGACCAGCCACACUGGGACUGAGACACGGCCCAGACUCCUACGGGAGGCAGCAGUGGGGAAUUUUGGACAAUGGGCGCAAGCCUGAUCCAGCCAUUCCGCGUGCAGGAUGAAGGCCCUCGGGUUGUAAACUGCUUUUGUACGGAACGAAAAGGCUCUGGUUAAUACCCGGGGCUCAUGACGGUACCGUAAGAAUAAGCACCGGCUAACUACGUGCCAGCCGCCGCAGUAACAC
rnacentral:rRNA from 1 species